rnacentral:rRNA from 1 species
UGAAGGCCUUCGGGUUGUAAACCSCYGYCAKKUGGGAGGAAAUCCAUGGGGGUUAUCCCCCAUGGUUGACCUAUCUUCMGAGGAAGUCCGGGCUAAGUUCGUGCCAGCAGCCGCGGUAACACGAACCGGACARACGUUAUUCGGAAUCAUUGGGCUUAAAGGGUGCGUAGGCGGUGCGGUAAGUGAGGUGUGAAAUCCCUCGGCUCAACCGAGGAAUUGCGCCUCAUACUGCUGUGCUAGAGGGAGACAGAGGUAAGCGGAACUGAUGGUGGAGCGGUGAAAUGCGUUGAUAUCAUCAGGAACACCGGUGGCGAAAGCGGCUUACUGGGUCUCUUCUGACGCUGAGGCACGAAAGCUAGGGUAGCGAACGGGAUUAGAUACCCCGGUAGUCCUAGCUGUAAACGAUGAGCACUUGACCGAGGGUCCCCCCAUAGGUUCUCGGUCGKAGCGAAAGUGUUAAGUGCUCCGCCUGGGGAGUAUGGUCGCAAGGCUGAAACUMAAAGGAAUUGACGGGGGCUCACMCAAGCGGUGGAGGAUGUGGCUUAAUUCGAGGCUACGCGAAGAACCUUAUCCGGGUCUUGACAUCAACGGAUUAACMCCUGUGAAAGCAGGGCCACGCCUUCGGGUGGAACGUUGACAGGUGCUGCAUGGCUGUCGUCMGCUCGUGUCGUGAGAUGUCGGGYUAAGUCCCUUAACGAGCGAAACCCUUGUCACUAGUUG